rnacentral:rRNA from 1 species
GAGUUUGAUCCUGGCUCAGGACGAACGCUGGCGGCGUGCCUAACACAUGCAAGUCGAACGGAGCUUAGAGAGCUUGCUUUUUAAGCUUAGUGGCGGACGGGUGAGUAACGCGUGAGGAACCUGCCUUUCAGAGGGGGACAACAGUUGGAAACGACUGCUAAUACCGCAUGAUAUAUUCGGAUGGCAUCGUCUGAAUAUCAAAGAUUUAUCGCUGAAAGAUGGGCUCACGUCUGAUUAGUUAGUUGGUGAGGUAACGGCUCACCAAGACUGCGAUCAGUAGCCGGACUGAGAGGUUGAACGGCCACAUUGGGACUGAGAUACGGCCCAGACUCCUACGGGAGGCAGCAGUGGGGAAUAUUGGGCAAUGGGCGAAAGCCUGACCCAGCAACGCCGCGUGGAGGAAGAAGGUUUUCGGAUUGUAAACUAUUGUCGUUAGGGAAGAUAAAAGACAGUACCUAAGGAGGAAGCUCCGGCUAACUACGUGCCAGCCGCCGCGGUAAUAC